CCUGAUGCAGCAACGCCGCGUGCGGGAUGACGGCCUUCGGGUUGUAAACCGCUUUUAGUAAGGAAGAAGGGGCUUCGGCCUUGACGGUACUUGCAGAAAAAGGACCGGCUAACUACGUGCCAGCAGCCGCGGUAAUACGUAGGGUCCGAGCGUUGUCCGGAAUUAUUGGGCGUAAAGAGCUCGUAGGCGGUUUGUCGCGUCUGCUGUGAAAACUAGAGGCUCAACCUCUAGCCUGCAGUGGGUACGGGCAGACUUGAGUGGUGUAGGGGAGACUGGAAUUCCUGGUGUAGCGGUGGAAUGCGCAGAUAUCAGGAGGAACACCGAUGGCGAAGGCAGGUCUCUGGGCACUUACUGACGCUGAGGAGCGAAAGCGUGGGGAGCGAACAGGAUUAGAUACCCUGGUAGUCCACGCCGUAAACGUUGGGCGCUAGAUGUGGGGACCUUUCCACGGUUUCCGUGUCGUAGCUAACGCAUUAAGCGCCCCGCCUGGGGAGUACGGCCGCAAGGCUAAAACUCAAAGGAAUUGACGGGGGCCCGCACAAGCGGCGGAGCAUGCGGAUUAAUUCGAUGCAACGCGAAGAACCUUACCAAGGCUUGACAUAUACGAGAACGCGCCAGAAAUGGUGAACUCUUUG
rnacentral:rRNA from 1 species